rnacentral:rRNA from 1 species
GGGGGAUAAGCGGAAGAAAUUCCGUCUAAUACCGCGUAACAACCCAUGGAGGCAUCUCUGUGGGUUUAAAGGAAGCGAUUCCGGCUACGGAUGGUCAUGCGUCGCAUUAGCUUGUUGGCGGGGUAACGGCCCACCAAGGCGACGAUGCGUAGGGGUUCUGAGAGGAAGGUCCCCCACACUGGUACUGAGACACGGACCAGACUCCUACGGGAGGCAGCAGUGAGGAAUAUUGGUCAAUGGCCGCAGGGCUGAACCAGCCAAGUCGCGUGAGGGAUGACGGUCCUAUGGAUUGUAAACCUCUUUUGUCAGGGAGCAAAGGGCGCCACGUGUGGCGCUUUGCGAGUACCUGAAGAAAAAGCAUCGGCUAACUCCGUGCCAGCAGCCGCGGUAAUACGGAGGAUGCGAGCGUUAUCCGGAUUUAUUGGGUUUAAAGGGUGCGCAGGCGGAAUGUCAAGUCAGCGGUAAAAUUUCGGGGCUCAACCCCGUCGUGCCGUUGAAACUGGCGUUCUUGAGUGAGCGAGAAGUAUGCGGAAUGCGUGGUGUAGCGGUGAAAUGCAUAGAUAUCACGCAGAACUCCGAUUGCGAAGGCAGCAUACCGGUGCUCAACUGACGCUCAUGCACGAAAGCGUGGGUAUCGAACAGGAUUAGAUACCCUGGUAGUCCACGCAGUAAAC